GGAUUAGAUACCCUGGUAGUCCACGCCGUAAACGAUGACAACUAGCCGUCGGGGCCCUUGAGGCCUUGGUGGCGCAGCUAACGCGGUAAGUUGUCCGCCUGGGGAGUACGGCCGCAAGGUUAAAACUCAAAUGAAUUGACGGGGGCCCGCACAAGCGGUGGAGCAUGUUGUUUAAUUCGAUGCAACGCGAAGAACCUUACCACCCCUUGACAUCCUGCGAACUUUCUAGAGAUAGAUCGGUGCCUUCGGGAGCGCAGUGACAGGUGCUGCAUGGCUGUCGUCAGCUCGUGCCG
rnacentral:rRNA from 1 species